rnacentral:rRNA from 1 species
AUUGAACGCUGGCGGCAUGCCUUACACAUGCAAGUCGAACGGCAGCAUGAUCUAGCUUGCUAGAUUGAUGGCGAGUGGCGAACGGGUGAGUAAUACAUCGGAACGUGCCCUGUAGUGGGGGAUAACUAGUCGAAAGAUUAGCUAAUACCGCAUACGACCUGAGGGUGAAAGUGGGGGACCGCAAGGCCUCAUGCUGUAGGAGCGGCCGAUGUCUGAUUAGCUAGUUGGUGAGGUAAAGGCUCACCAAGGCGACGAUCAGUAGCUGGUCUGAGAGGACGAUCAGCCACACUGGGACUGAGACACGGCCCAGACUCCUACGGGAGGCAGCAGUGGGGAAUUUUGGACAAUGGGGGCAACCCUGAUCCAGCAAUGCCGCGUGUGUGAAGAAGGCCUUCGGGUUGUAAAGCACUUUCGUCCGGAAAGAAAUCGCACUUACUAAUAUUAGGUGUGGAUGACGGUACCGGAAGAAUAAGGACCGGCUAACUACGUGCCAGCCGCCGCCGUAAGAC